rnacentral:tRNA from 1 species
UGUUAUGUGGCUUAGUUGGUUAAAACAAACACCGGUCUAGCGAAUACGGAGUCGUGGGUUCGAAUCCCACCAGAACGU